CCAACAGCAGCACCAGCUGGGAACGGAAGAUCAGAGAAUGGCUAUUGAUUAAUCUAUUAGAGGUGUUAACGACUUAAUCAUUGCGGGCGUUAGCAUAUGAAAAAGUAGGAAAUGAGGGAGUGUGUGUGAAUGUGAGGACCGUAUUGACGCGGCCCCAGGUGUUGUCGGAUUUCGGGGAAUACAAUUAAAUUAGGAAAAUGCCCCACGAGCGAACAGUUUCACAAUCUUCCCGCGGGGCCGGCUCCCUCCCUGCGCGGCCGCGGACCCGCCACCCCGCGGGGUUCCCCCCCCC